UAGAAUAGAGCAGAGCAGAGCAGAGUAGAAUAAAUUAGAAUAGAAUAGAAUAGAAUUGGAAGGGACCUUGGAGGUCUUCUAGUCCCACCCCCUGCUCAGGCAGGAAACCCUACCAUUUCAAACAAAUUCCAGGAAGGGAUGGGGGAGGGGUGUUUCCGGGAACGAGCCAGCGAGGAGCAGCGGAGACCCCGCCGGACUUUCCACUUUCAAGCCGCCGGAGCAGGAAUCACCCGGCCUCUACGGGCGCCCCUCCCUGCCCGCCGCCGUUUAUGGGCACGACCCCCGCCUAGGACCCGGAGCUGGAGAAGCCUCGGAAGAGCCGCUCUGCCCUCCCCAGAGUUUGGCCGCAGCUUUUGGCCCUUCCACGCGGUGGGGGAGCUCCGCGUUUCGUCCCCCGCCCCCCUCCGCCGCGCGCGCGGAAAAAAGUCGCAACUGGUCAACUGGCAUCCCUGGAGAAGCUGCUGGGGAACAGAUUUCUGACAGUUUGUAAGACAAACAAACAACAGUAAUUGGAUGUAAAAGCUCUCAUCCUUAAAGAGAACGAGACUGAGUUAAAUUUAUGGCAAGAAAAUACUUUCCUUUAACUAAGGAGGAGAAAAAGAGAAGUGAUAUGCAGCCACAGGAAGUCCUACAACCACAGUGGAGCCCCAAUAUUAUUGCUGAAAUCUGAUGCUUCAUGUCUAUAAAGCAUUCAUGUAGUGGAACCUCUGUCGUUUUUAAACUUUUCUAAAAAAGAGAAAAAGAGAGAGAGACCCCAAGGAUAUUAUCAUCUCCCUUCCUUGCAAACUAUCAAACUAUCAGCAAGGGACCCUGUGCUUCCACCGGUGGGGGGGGGGGGAAGGAGGGAACACCUUCAGUCCCAAGGCAGAGACCCCUCGAUCUCUUUGGCUAGCUGCUGGCUGGGGCAUUCUGGGAGUUGAAGUCCACAAGUCUUAAAAGUUGCCAAGUUUGGAGGCUGCUGUAUUUGGUGAAUGAACAGAAGUUAUC